AGAGAAUCAGCAGUGGGGCAUCUGGAAAUGUGUAAGGGGGUUCUGAGUAGUCACAAUGACUGGCAUUCUGUGGGCCAGAACCAGAGGUAUAUGACUGCAGUUCUUGAGAAAGUCCCAUACAAAGAAGUGUCUUGACUAAAAUGCCAGAGCAUUCCCAUCAGGGAACACUGGACUACAAGCUGAGAAAAGAAAGACUUGUAUUUUGCAGUGGUGACCAAGGAUGCAGGACAACAGCUAAUGAAGACCAGUCCGGCUAUGUAAGUACGUCUAGUGAAAACCUGUACUGGAAAAGAGCAAUGGAUUAUAGUAAAAUAUUCCAGUGUUCUGUCCUGACCCUGCCACUGAACUGCUGUGAACUUUGAGAGUCUCCAGUUUGGAAGAUAAAUAUGAAGUACCAAUUCAAUAACUGUGAAAUUCUAGUACUUCUUAUAAAGAUCUAAUUGUAUCUUCAGCUUUCAAAAAAAUGCUAUUCAUCUUCUCAAACAGCACUAGCUUAUAAGUAACUCUGCUCAUACCUCUAAUGGAACAUAACCUUUGUAACCAACCAAAAUGUUCAGUAAGGCUAGGAAGUUUUAAAAUGUAACAGAAGGGCGCCUGGGUGGCUCAGUUGGUUAAGAGACUGCCUUCUGCUCAGGUCAUGAUCCUGGA